rnacentral:rRNA from 1 species
GACGAACGCUGGCGGCGUGCUUAACACAUGCAAGUCGAGCGGAAAGGCCCUUCGGGGUACUCGAGCGGCGAACGGGGGAAUAACACGUGAGUAAUCUGCCCUUGGCUUUGGGAUAACUACCGGAAACGGUGGCUAAUACCGGAUACGACAACCGUCUGCAUGGGCUGGUUGUGGAAAGUUUUUUCGGCCAGGGGUGUGCUGGCGGCCUAUCAGCUUGUUGGCGGGGUAAUGGCCUACCAAGGCUUCGACGGGUAGCCGGCCUGAGAGGGUGACCGGCCACACUGGGACUGAGACACGGCGCAGACUCCUACGGGAGGCAGCAGUGGGGAAGAUUGGACAAUGGGCGGAAGCCUGAUCCAGCAACGCCGCGUGAGGGAUGACGGCAUUCGGGUUGUAAGCCUGUUUCAGUAUCGACGAAGCGCCGAUGAUGGUGGUGACGGUAGGUACAGAAGAAGCACCGGCCAACUACGUG